UCCAGACUCCUACGGGAGGCAGCAGUGGGGAAUAUUGCACAAUGGGGGAAACCCUGAUGCAGCGACGCCGCGUGAGUGAAGAAGUAUUUCGGUAUGUAAAGCUCUAUCAGCAGGGAAGAAAAUGACGGUACCUGACUAAGAAGCCCCGGCUAACUACGUGCCAGCAGCCGCGGUAAUACGUAGGGGGCAAGCGUUAUCCGGAUUUACUGGGUGUAAAGGGAGCGUAGACGGCAUGGCAAGUCAGAUGUGAAAGCCCGGGGCUCAACCCCGGGACUGCUCUUGGAACUGCGUGGCUGGAGUGCAGGAGGGGCAGGCGGAAUUCCUGGUGUAGCGGUGAAAUGCGUAGAUAUCAGGAGGAACACCAGUGGCGAAGGCGGCUUGCUGGACGAUGACUGACGUUGAGGCUCGAAAGCGUGGGGAGCAAACAGGAUUAGAUACCCUCGUAUG
rnacentral:rRNA from 1 species